rnacentral:tRNA from 1 species
GGUUUCAUAGUGUAGUGGUUAUUACAUCUGCUUUACACGGAGAAGGUCCUGGGUUCAAUCCCCAGUAAAACAA